AGGAGUCCAACACUAUGUCUGAAACAUCACCAUAGAACAAGAUGGAUGGAUGUUUUCAUCACAUCUAUGGAUAUUAGACCUAGAAGAAAUGCCACCCAACCUCCUCAGUUUUGUAUUUAUUUGACUGAUAAAAGAAAAACUUCAGCUGAAUUAAAUUUAAAGAAGUUUAACUGAACAACCAACGAUUCACGAAUCAAGCAGCUUUCCCAGCCAGAGUAGGCUCAGAGACUCCAGCACAGCCACAUGGGAGAAGAUUUAUGGACAGAAAAAGGAAAGUGAGGCACAGAAGCAACUAGAUUGGUUACAGGUUGGCAUUUGCCUUAUUUCAACAUGUUCAAACAAUUGGCUACAUUUGGCCAAAACUCAAUGAUUGGCACAAGUGUAAGCUACGGUCUGUUUACACCUCCACUUGUUAUAGUUCACAAUGUACAGAAAAACCUUUAAGUCGAACUUAAAAUACGUACAGAGGCAACUUUAGGCUAAACUUGAUUUAACAGGACUUUGGAGAAUUGUUAAUUUGAGUAUAUUAGGAAUAUAGCCAUUUUGUGUAUAAAAAAGCUAUGCGUGGUUUUACAGGAACCUAGUUCAAGAAAAAUCAGACAUAUAAAACAGACUAAUAAGGAAGUGCUUACUCUGAUUAGAAAAUUAUUCACCUUACAGGAUAAUUUGCAUCAGAGUUCAUUUUAUCUGUGUGCAUCCGAAAUAUGAUUUUGUAUUAAAAGUGAGUACUUAUUACUAUCUUAAA
rnacentral:lncRNA from 1 species